rnacentral:rRNA from 1 species
AGUGAACGCUGGCGGUGGGCCUAACACAUGCAAGUCGAACGGCAGCACAGUAAGAGCUUGCUCUUACGGGUGGCGAGUGGCGGACGAGUGAGGAAUACAUCGGAAUCUACUUUUUCGUGGGGGAUAACGUAGGGAAACUUACGCUAAUACCGCAUACGACCUACGGGUGAAAGCAGGGGAUCUUCGGACCUUGCGCGAUUGAAUGAGCCGAUGUCGGAUUAGCUAGUUGGCGGGGUAAAGGCCCACCAAGGCGACGAUCCGUAGCUGGUCUGAGAGGAUGAUCAGCCACACUGGAACUGAGACACGGUCCAGACUCCUACGGGAGGCAGCAGUGGGGAAUAUUGGACAAUGGGCGCAAGCCUGAUCCAGCCAUACCGCGUGGGUGAAGAAGGCCUUCGGGUUGUAAAGCCCUUUUGUUGGGAAAGAAAAGCAGCAGGUUAAUACCCCGCUGUUCUGACGGUACCCAAAGAAUAAGCACCGGCUAACUUCGUG